GAAUAUUGGACAAUGGGCGAAAGCCUGAUCCAGCAACGCCGCGUGAGGGAUGACGGCCUUCGGGUUGUAAACCUCUUUCAGCGGGGACGAAGCGAAAGUGACGGUACCCGCAGAAGAAGGACCGGCCAACUACGUGCCAGCAGCCGCGGUAAUACGUAGGGUCCGAGCGUUGUCCGGAAUUAUUGGGCGUAAAGGGCUCGUAGGCGGUCUGUCGCGUCGGGAGUGAAAACUCAGGGCUCAACCCUGAGCGUGCUUCCGAUACGGGCAGACUAGAGGUAUUCAGGGGAGAACGGAAUUCCUGGUGUAGCGGUGAAAUGCACAGAUAUCAGGAGGAACACCGGUGGCGAAGGCGGUUCUCUGGGAAUUACCUGACGCUGAGGAGCGAAAGCAUGGGGAGCGAACA
rnacentral:rRNA from 1 species